rnacentral:sRNA from 2 species
ACCUAGCCCCGAUUGAAAUGGAAAUCCUUUUAUGUUUUUUCUUUAAAAACAUAAAAGAUUGCAAUGGAAAGCGGGAAAUAGC